AUAUUUUUCAUGUAUUGUAAAUUGCAUAUUAAAAAAUCUCUGUUCUUAUCAGCUUAAUAUCUGAUACGGGUUCUAUAUGGACCCACGAUAUUAAACCUAUUUUUGGAAGUGUGCGGAGUGCUUGCAGCCUGCUUCACCUCCGCCGCAGGUCGGCCCGGUAUUGCACAACCUCUGGGAUCGGUCCCCGCUCA